rnacentral:rRNA from 1 species
GAUGAACGCUGGCGGCGUGCCUAAUACAUGCAAGUCGAGCGAACAGACGAGGAGCUUGCUCCUUCGACGUUAGCGGCGGACGGGUGAGUAACACGUAGGUAACCUACCUAUAAGACUGGGAUAACUUCGGGAAACCGGAGCUAAUACCGGAUAAUAUUUCGAACCGCAUGGUUCGAUAGUGAAAGAUGGCUUUGCUAUCACUUAUAGAUGGACCUGCGCCGUAUUAGCUAGUUGGUAAGGUAACGGCUUACCAAGGCAACGAUACGUAGCCGACCUGAGAGGGUGGACGGCCACACUGGAACUGAGACACGGUCCAGACUCCUACGGGAGGCAACGGUAGGGAAUCUUCCGCGAUGGGCGAAAGCCGGACGGAGCAACGCCGCGGGAGUGAUGAAGGUCUUCGGAUCGCAAAACUCUGUUAUUAGGGAAGAACAAACGUGUAAGUAACUGUGCACGUCUUGACGGUACCUAAUCAGAAAGCCACGGCUAACUACGUG